rnacentral:rRNA from 1 species
ACGCUGGCGGCAUGCCUAACACAUGCAAGUCGAACGAGACCUUCGGGUCUAGUGGCGCACGGGUGCGUAACGCGUGGGAACCUGCCUUUAGGUUCGGAAUAACUCAGAGAAAUUUGAGCUAAUACCGGAUAAUGUCUUCGGACCAAAGAUUUAUCGCCUUUAGAUGGGCCCGCGUAAGAUUAGCUAGUUGGUGGGGUAAAGGCCUACCAAGGCGACGAUCUUUAGCUGGUCUGAGAGGAUGAUCAGCCACACUGGGACUGAGACACGGCCCAGACUCCUACGGGAGGCAGCAGUGGGGAAUAUUGGACAAUGGGCGAAAGCCUGAUCCAGCAAUGCCGCGUGAGUGAUGAAGGCCUUAGGGUUGUAAAGCUCUUUUACCCGAGAUGAUAAUGACAGUAUCGGGAGAAUAAGCUCCGGCUAACUCCGUG